GACGAACGCUGGCGGCGUGCUUAACACAUGCAAGUCGAACGGAAAGGCCCUGCUUUUGUGGGGUGCUCGAGUGGCGAACGGGGGAGUAACACGUGAGUAACCUGCCCUUGACUUUGGGAUAACUUCAGGAAACUGGGGCUAAUACCGGGGAGGAGCUCCUGCUGCAUGGUGGGGGUUGGAAAGUUUCGGCGGUUGGGGAUGGACUCGCGGCUUAUCAGCUUGUUGGUGGGGUAGUGGCUUACCAAGGCUUUGACGGGUAGCCGGCCUGAGAGGGUGACCGGCCACAUUGGGACUGAGAUACGGCCCAGACUCCUACGGGAGGCAGCAGUGGGGAAUAUUGCACAAUGGGCGGCAGCCUGAUGCAGCAACGCCGCGUGCGGGAUGACGGCCUUCGGGUUGUAAACCGCUUUCGCCUGUGACGAAGCGUGAGUGACGGUAAUGGGUAAAGAAGCACCGGCUAACUACGUG
rnacentral:rRNA from 1 species